GAUGAACGCUGACAGCAUGCUUAACACAUGCCAGUCAACUUGAAUUUGGGUUUUUAACUUAGGUUUGGGUGGCGGACGGGUGAGUAACGCGUAAAGAACUUGCCUCACAGCUAGGGACAACAUUUGGAAACGAAUGCUAAUACCUAAUAUUAUGAUAAUAGGGCAUCCUAUAAUUAUGAAAGCUAUAAGCGCUGUGAGAGAGCUUUGCGUCCCAUUAGCUAGUUGGAGAGGUAACGGCUCACCAAGGCGAUGAUGGGUAGCCGGCCUGAGAGGGUGAUCGGCCACAAGGGGACUGAGACACGGCCCUUACUCAUACGGGAGGCAGCAGUGGGGAAUAUUGGACAAUGGACCGAGAGUCUGAUCCAGCAAUUCUGUGUGCACGAUGAAGUUUUUCGGAAUGUAAAGUGCUUUCAGUUGGGAAGAAACAAAUGACGGUACCAACAGAAGAAGUGACGGCUAAAUACGUG
rnacentral:rRNA from 1 species